rnacentral:rRNA from 1 species
CUUGCUUUUCUGAAUCUAGUGGCGAACGGGUGAGUAACACGUAGGUAACCUGCCCAUGUGCCCGGGAUAACUUCUGGAAACGGAUGCUAAAACCGGAUAGGUAGCAGACAAGCAUUUGACUGCUAUUAAAGUGGCUAAGGCCAUGAACAUGGAUGGACCUGCGGUGCAUUAGCUAGUUGGUGAGGUAACGGCCCACCAAGGCGAUGAUGCAUAGCCGGCCUGAGAGGGCGGACGGCCACAUUGGGACUGAGACACGGCCCAAACUCC